rnacentral:rRNA from 1 species
UACCUGGUUGAUCCUGCCAGUAGUCAUAUGCUUGUCUCAAAGAUUAAGCCAUGCAUGUCUAAGUAUAAGUAUUGUACAGCGAAACUGCAGACGGCUCAUUAAAACAGUUAUGGUUUAUUUGAUGGUUCAUUGCUACUUGGAUAACCGUAGUAAUUCUAGAGCUAAUACAUGCACGAAGGGGCGACUUACGAAGCCCUGUAUUUAUUAGAUUAAAGCCAAUCCCGCAAGGGUCGUGGUGAAUCAUAGUAACUUCUCGGAUCGCCGGCCCUGUGCCAGCGACGUGUCAUUCAAAUUUCUGCCCUAUCAGCUUUAGAUGGUAGGAUAUGGGCCUACCAUGGCGGUGACGGGUGACGGAGAAUUAGGGUUCGAUUCCGGAGAGGGAGCCUGAGAAACGGCUACCACUUCUAAGGAAGGCAGCAGGCGCGCAAAUUACCCAAUCCUGAUUCAGGGAGGUAGUGACAAGAAAUAACAAUAGUUCGCCCUAGUGGUAAGCUAAUUGGAAUGAGUACAAUUUAAACAUCUUAACGAGCACCAAUUGGAGGGCAAGUCUGGUGCCAGCAGCCGCGGUAAUUCCAGCUCCAAUAGC